rnacentral:rRNA from 1 species
AUGCAAGUUCGAACGGUGAAGCAGAGCUUGCUCUGUGGAUCAGUGGCGAACGGGUGAGUAACACGUGAGCAACCUGCCCCUGACUCUGGGAUAAGCGCUGGAAACGGCGUCUAAUACUGGAUAUGAGCUGCGAUCUAAUGGUCAGCAGUUGGAAAGAUUUUUCGGUCUGGGAUGGGCUCACGGCCUAUCAGCUUGUUGGUGAGGUAAUGGCUCACCAAGGCGUCGACGGGUAGCCGGCCUGAGAGGGUGACCGGCCACACUGGGACUGAGACACGGCCCAGACUCCUACGGGAGGCAGCAGUGGGGAAUAUUGCACAAUGGGCGAAAGCCUGAUGCAGCAACGCCGCGUGAGGGAUGACGGCCUUCGGGUUGUAAACCUCUUUUAGCAGGGAAGAAGCGAAAGUGACGGUACCUGCAGAAAAAGCGCCGGCUAACUACGUGCCAGCAGCCGCGGUAAUACGUAGGGCGCAAGCGUUAUCCGGAAUUAUUGGGCGUAAAGAGCUCGUAGGCGGUUUGUCGCGUCUGCUGUGAAAUCCCGAGGCUCAACCUCGGGUCUGCAGUGGGUACGGGCAGACUAGAGUGCGGUAGGGGAGAUUGGAAUUCCUGGUGUAGCGGUGGAAUGCGCAGAUAUCAGGAGGAACACCGAUGGCGAAGGCAGAUCUCUGGGCCGUUACUGACGCUGAGAGCGAAAGGGUGGGGAGCAAACAGGCUUAGAUACCCUGGUAGUCCACCCCGUAAACGUUGGGAACUAGUUGUGGGUCCAUUCCCGGAUUCCGUGACGCACUAACGAUUAAGUUCCCCGCCUGGGGGAGUACGGCCGCAAGGCUAAAACUCAAAAGGAAUUGACGGGGACCCGCACAAGCGGCGGAGCAUGCGGAUUAAUUCGAUGCAACGCGAAGAACCUUACCAAGGCUUGACAUAUACGAGAACGGGCCAGAAAUGGUCAACUCUUUGGACACUCGUAAACAGGUGGUGCAUGGUUGUCGUCAGCUCGUGUCGUGAGAUGUUGGGUUAAGUCCCGCAACGAGCGCAACCCUCGUUCUAUGUUGCCAGCACGUAAUGGUGGGAACUCAUGGGAUACUGCCGGGGUCAACUCGGAGGAAGGUGGGGAUGACGUCAAAUCAUCAUGCCCCUUAUGUCUUGGGCUUCACGCAUGCUACAAUGGCCGGUACAAAGGGCUGCAAUACCGCGAGGUGGAGCGAAUCCCAAAAAGCCGGUCCCAGUUCGGAUUGAGGUCUGCAACUCGACCUCAUGAAGUCGGAGUCGCUAGUAAUCGCAGAUCAGCAACGCUGCGGUGAAUACGUUCCCGGGUCUUGUACACACCGCCCGUCAAGUCAUGAAAGUCGGUAACUACCUGAAGCCGGUGGCCCAACCCUUGUGG